rnacentral:rRNA from 1 species
GCAGCAGCCACGGGAACACGAAGGGUGCAAGCGUUAAUCGGAAUUACUGGGCGUAAAGCGUGCGCAGGCGGUUUCGUAAGACAGAUGUGAAAUCCCCGGGCUUAACCUGGGAACUGCAUUUGUGACUGCGAGGCUAGAGUGUGUCAGAGGGGGGUGGAAUUCCACGUGUAGCAGUGAAAUGCGUAGAUAUGUGGAGGAACACCGAUGGCGAAGGCAGCCCCCUGGGAUAACACUGACGCUCAUGCACGAAAGCGUGGGGAGCAAACAGGAUUAGAUACCCCCGUAGUCCCUGUCUCUUAUAC